CGUAGGGUGCGAGCGUUAAUCGGAAUUACUGGGCGUAAAGCGUGCGCAGGCGGUUAUGUAAGACAGAUGUGAAAUCCCCGGGCUCAACCUGGGACCUGCAUUUGUGACUGCAUAGCUAGAGUACGGUAGAGGGGGAUGGAAUUCCGCGUGUAGCAGUGAAAUGCGUAGAUAUGCGGAGGAACACCGAUGGCGAAGGCAAUCCCCUGGACCUGUACUGACGCUCAUGCACGAAAGCGUGGGGAGCAAACAGGAUUAGAUACCCUGGUAGUCCACGCCCUAAACGAUGUCAACUGGUUGUUGGGUCUUCACUGACUCGGUAACGAAGCUAACGCGUGAAGUUGACCGCCUGGGGAGUACGGCCGCAAGGUUG
rnacentral:rRNA from 1 species